UUUCCGUAGGUGAACCUGCGGAAGGAUCAUUACUGAGUUAGGGCCCCCUGCGUCCAACCCCACACCCGUUUUUAUAGUACCUUGUUGCUUCGCUGAGCCCGCCUCACGGCCGCCGGGGGGCAUCUGCCCCCGGGCCCGCGCUCGCCGAUGACACCCUCGAACUCUGUCUGCAGUUCGCAGUCUGAGCGAAAAAAAAAUAACUUAAAACUUUCAACAACGGAUCUCUUGGUUCCG
rnacentral:misc_RNA from 1 species